GUGAACGCUGGCGGUAGGCCUAACACAUGCAAGUCGAACGGCAGCACGGUAAGAGCUUGCUCUUACGGGUGGCGAGUGGCGGACGGGUGAGGAAUACAUCGGAAUCUACUUUUUCGUGGGGGAUAACGUAGGGAAACUUACGCUAAUACCGCAUACGACCUACGGGUGAAAGCAGGGGAUCUUCGGACCUUGCGCGAUUGAAUGAGCCGAUGUCGGAUUAGCUAGUUGGCGGGGUAAAGGCCCACCAAGGCGACGAUCCGUAGCUGGUCUGAGAGGAUGAUCAGCCACACUGGAGCUGAGACACGGUCCAGACUCCUACGGGAGGCAGCAGUGGGGAAUAUUGGACAAUGGGCGCAAGCCUGAUCCAGCCAUACCGCGUGGGUGAAGAAGGCCUUCGGGUUGUAAAGCCCUUUUGUUGGGAAAGAAAAGCAGCAGGUUAAUACCCCGCUGUUCUGACGGUACCCAAAGAAUAAGCACCGGCUAACUUCGUG
rnacentral:rRNA from 1 species